rnacentral:rRNA from 1 species
AUUGAACGCUGGCGGAAUGCUUUACACAUGCAAGUCGAACGGCAGCACGGGGGCAACCCUGGUGGCGAGUGGCGAACGGGUGAGUAAUACAUCGGAACGUGCCCGGUCGUGGGGGAUAACGUAGCGAAAGUUACGCUAAUACCGCAUACGAUCUGAGGAUGAAAGCGGGGGACCUUCGGGCCUCGCGCGAUCGGAGCGGCCGAUGUCAGGUUAGGUAGUUGGUGGGGUAAAGGCCUACCAAGCCGACGAUCUGUAGCUGGUCUGAGAGGACGACCAGCCACACUGGGACUGAGACACGGCCCAGACUCCUACGGGAGGCAGCAGUGGGGAAUUUUGGACAAUGGGCGCAAGCCUGAUCCAGCCAUUCCGCGUGCAGGACGAAGGCCUUCGGGUUGUAAACUGCUUUUGUAUGGAACGAAAAGGCUCUGGCUAAUACCUGGGGCUCAUGACGGUACCGUAAGAAUAAGCACCGGCUAACUACGUG